CACAAAAGUUUAAAAUGUUCAUGUUUUCAUUUUUUCAGGAGUUUCAAAAUAUGUUCCAGUUUCAAAAAUGGUUCGAAAAUUUCAAAAAAUGAUUGUGUUUUCAAAUUUUGUUCGGUAGUUUCAAAAUAUGUUUGCGUUUCCAACGUUGUUUUGGAAUUUUAAGAAAUAUUCCCAUUUAAAAAAAAGUUCUGUUUCAAAAAAUGUUCCUGUAUUAAAAAUAUUUUUAUUUCCAAAAACAAAAUCACAUUUUUCAGGAAAUGUUUUGAUUUCUUCCGAAAGUGCUUUCAUAUGUGAAUGCGGCUUUGAGUUCUUAUAAUAUUCGCGCUAUAUACCAUAAUUACACCCGUCUGGUCUAGUGGCGUACUGCUAUCACCUCGAACCCGAGGUCACGAGCUCGGAUACUCGCGACCCCUCUACUUUAACAGCUUUUUUUAGUGAUGUGCGCGUAGUUUAGUGAUGGGCAGGCCCAAUGGAGACAUUGUGUGCGUCGCUCCAACUAUUUGUCGCAGAAGGCGGCAAAUAGGAGCUUCCCUAGGUGAUUACCUAACAGACCCUUAAUGAGUGAUUUCGGGAUUCCAGGACUGGGCUGGCGCCUGAUCAUCUAUACAUCUGUAGCAUGGGUCGCGGGUCACCACAUCUGAUUUUGUUACCCCCGGCCCUAUAUAGAGUGCGCGAUGCAUUUUUUCUGAACCGGUAAAAGAGAAAAGCAGUCCAUCCCGAAAAGCCCGAAAACAAAAAGAUAGAAAAACGCAGGCCACUAGCUCCUCCCGAGCCUCCCUCCCAGUGCGCCGCCGCCUCCCUUCCCGCUCGCCGGACUGAUAGCACAAGUAGCAGUGGGACUGACUGGGAGUGAUCCCUGAACCACUUCAUCAGGGGCCGUGGUUUCCAACAAUGCUAAUGCUACUAGAAAGUGCUAGUGGCCAUGAAGCCUCUCGGCUUUCCCAAUAAGGAGGUUUGGCCAGUCCUGAAGCGCCUCCUCAAGCUCUUCGAGGAUAACUGGGCGUCCAUCGAGGACGGGAGCUACCGCAUCCUUGUUGACACCAUACGGGAUGACAAAAGCAAUGAACGAAUACCUACAACUACCGGUCAUGUUAAAAAUGCUACUUUCAUUAGUUUGGUAGCCUUCCUUAAUUACCACUUGAUGCUCAACCUUUCCAAUUGUAGUUUUCACUUAAGGUGACGUGCCAAAAAGAGUAAAAGCCUCACAACUCAAUGCGGUCAGACCAGAUGACCAACACCUCUCCUGCUCGGUAUGACAAGGAUGACGGUGAUAAUGAAAACCUCCCUCACAGAAGAGCGGCCGGGUGCACCUUGCCAUCUACAUUUCAGAGCCCAUCAGUAUUCAUGUGGACUUCAAAUAAUGACUAUUCUUGUAGGAGGUUUGAAGCUUAUCGUGGAGCAAGUUCAAGAGAUUAGUUUCGUGAAAAUAAAUGUGAUCUUUUGGUCAGGAUUUUGCAUGAUCCAUAGCCAUCGGUGGCAACAGGGAGCAGUUCGAGGCCUCAUGCGUGAGUCGUCCAUUGUCUUCUAUGUGUGAGCUUGUUGUCUCUACACAUCUAGCAUCAGAGUAUCUCCUCCCCUUGCCGCACACACAUGCCAGGCGGUCGAGCUAGUGUUGUUUGUGAUAAUGGUUGUGACUCUUGCGUUGUCAUUGGACAAAGAAUUGGUUCUGUAACUAUGUAUUUGCAGGACCUUUAGCAAAUAUUGUUGUGUUAUGAGUAUUCUGAUGUGGGCCAAAAUGAUGAGCAUUUAAACAUCAGCCCGAAUUAAUAAAACUGAUAAGUUCUACUUACAAUAAACGGAUGAACCUAGAUGCAACAAAGCUCUGCCAUUAGCCGUGGGGAUUAUCAGUUCAUGUGUAUUGUGUUCUUUUUGUUGGUUAAUGUAUUUUCUUGUUUGUCAGGUCGUGUGCAAGUUUGUUAUUAGUUCAUGUGUAUGUGUAUUGGUGAUCGCUGCUAUUGCUGCUAGCUAUCGAUCAGACUGUGGUAUUACUUCGGCUGCUCCAUGUAAUUAGCCCCUUUGUUGGGUGAAUCUCCUACUACUUGCUAGCUUUGGAAUUGUAAAAACACAAUAAGUUCACAAUUUAAAAAGUUGUAAGUUCAACACGACGUCCUAGAUAAGUUUUAGGAAAAGCUGAAACACAAAGAAAACCAAAAGAAAUUCAAAUGGUAACGUUCAAGUCGUGGGAUGAAAGAAGUCCAGAACAACGUUGACAAUGUUAGAGUUGACACAUAAUAUUUUUCUUUAAAUAAAAUGUCAUUCACUUCAACGAUAUAAAACCAUGCAAGUUCGGGGAGGAUAAUAUCGUAAACCGUUGAAAAGUUAUAAGGAAAACGAUACCGCAAAAACAGAGUAAAGUCUAGUAUGUGAAAAACACGCUCAGUACAAAACC